AAUGUGCUUGCAUAUAUUUGUAAAAUCAAAGUUACAACAUUAGAAUGUGUUUAUAAAUCGGUGCAUCUGCAUUUGUGGAUUAAAUCAGAAGGCUGUUUCCUGUGCUGUAUUUUUGUUUAUUUUCUCUCGUGUUAAUUUGGAUUUUGAGACUUUCCUUUCGCAUUUCUGCACCUGAUCCACACACAAAUGCUGCUGCCCAUUCACAAAUGUACAAGCAAGCGAACAAGCUGCCGCUAGGGGCCGCUGUUGCUUGGUUUCACUGUGGUUGUGGAUGGCGGUGCUCCGAGCGUCCAGAUAACAGACCUCCCGCCUGCAACAACCAGGCAUCACUCCAGGAGAGCGGCAUGGAGGGUCAACCGUCAUCAUCUUCAAUUGGAAAUUCGACUAAAAAUAUGGUGGAGACUAUGGCUCAGGCCCUAGUUACAGCCCUUUCAAGAGAGCUUUCAUCCAACCUUAACACCUCUGUAACCACACCAGUCAGGCCUCCAUGUCUCUCAGCUAAUACCACCGUGCCCACUACUAACACCACUACCUCCCUAUCCAGCAAUGAGAGCAUUGCCAGUUCCACUUCUAGAAUCAACCAGGCUUUAAAGAGGCAAUUUCCUAAUAUGUUUAAUUUAAAAACAGAAGCAAAAAGGGGUAAAGGCCGGUUUUGUAGCUCCUCCCGGACCACAUCAUCCAAGCAUAUUGACCUCACAGUAUAUGUCCUGCCAUCCCCUUCUUCUGUGACACCUAAGGCUUCAAAAGAACUAGAACUUGCCUGUGCAGGUUUAGGGAAAAGGGUGGUUUCAGUUCCAGACAACUUCAGUUAUAAAGAGAUUGUUACACUGUUGGAGGAGGAGUUCCUUAAACAUCGCCCACUUCAAGGACGGUGGAUGUUCUACAAAGCAACAGGAGGAAGUGGCCAAAGGAAACUUUCAAUAAUUCCAAUGGACACAGAAGGCUAUUCUGGUCGGCAGCUCCGAUCGGUUUCAAACAGUGGCAAAAAUAUUUUGUUUUUGGCUCCCCUACAAGAGGAGAUGGAUACUGAGCCUCUUCCAUAUGAUGCAGCAGAAUUUGCAAAAAUGCCAAAGGUUGCAUUUCUGUAAAAGCAUCAUGCCACUGCAAAUGCUGGCUCUACAUGCCGAAGAAUGUCAACAAACAACAAAUGAUCAGACUGAUGUUGUUAUUGUGGAGGACAGUGACAUGCAUGGGACCUCAGAAGAGCCGGGGGAUAAUUCCACAGAAACGGAGCUUCCAAAUGAGGUAAUAUUUUGGAAUUAUUCUUGUUGUUUAUUUGAAUGUUUUUUCAUUGUCAAUGUCUCUUGUGUGUCUUUUCAUGUCCUAUAUGCCAGAAGGAGUUCUCUAUAUCAAUACUACCUUACCAUGGCAGUGUUUGUGCAGAAAGUUCUUUUACUGACAACACGGAAUACCCAGGACCAUCAUCUGCAGCUCCUUCACCUUCUCCUUCAGAAACUCUUACAGGUCAAAGAGUAGAUUGGGAUGCUGCAAUUGGUUCUGGAGUUACAAGACAUAUCCUGUCAUCUGCCAUCACCAAAUUAAAACAUGGACUUAAACUUAAUUUGGGGAAUGCAGCAGAAACUGCAAUGUUUGAAGGAGAAAUUGACCACCUUGUCCCUAACACAUCAGCAGUAAUGGUUGAGAGCGAGCUUUUUCUCAUGGCUGGUAGGAUGAUCGCUCACUCAAUCAUUAAUAAUGGUCCUACCCUGUCCGGGCUCAGCCUUGCAGUAGUAAAUGCUUUAACAGGAGGGACUAAAGAAACAGCAACAUCGAACCUCAGCCUAGAAGACUGCUCUGACUUAGACCACAGAGAGACCAUUCGUCUGCUACUGAAGAAGAAUGGACUGAAGAUGAGGCCUCAAGAGUGACCAACUUAUGUUUGGAGUUGUCUUACCCAGUUCCUACAAAGGAGACAAACAGACUGCUACUGUUCCAACAGUUACUCUCCCACACUGUCCUUGGUCAAGUUAAGGCACAAAUUAAGCAGCUAAGGAAGGAAUUGAAGGAGACUGGCAUUUGGCAUCUCAUUACCUGUAGGCCUGAUGUGGUGCCCCUUUUGUUUCCCAGAGAGUCAGAUGUUGAACUAACCUCUCAGAUGGUACAACAUUUAAUUCAGUGACCUCAGGCAAAACAAAAUCAUAACAGUGAAGACAGCGAUGAUGAUACGGGGACAGAGACGCUGACUCUUAUUCAGGGUUUUUCCGAACCUUUGUUGAAGAAGCAUCCUCAGAAGAUUUACAGCAGCUUAUGAGGUUCUGGACGGGUUGGGAAAUGCCAUGCCACAGGCUCAAACUGGAAGUAGUGCAGUCUACAGGAC